GAUGAACGCUGGCGGCGUGCCUAAUACAUGCAAGUCGAGCGAACGGACGAGAAGCUUGCUUCUCUGAUGUUAGCGGCGGACGGGUGAGUCACACGUGGAUAACCUACCUAUAAGACUGGGAUAACUUCGGGAAACCGUAGCUAAUACCGGAUAAUAUUUUGAACCGCAUGGUUCAAAAGUGAAAGACGGUCUUGCUGUCACUUAUAGAUGGAUCCGCGCUGCAUUAGCUAGUUGGUAAGGUAACGGCUUACCAAGGCAACGAUGCAUAGCCGACCUGAGAGGGUGAUCGGCCACACUGGAACUGAGACACGGUCCAGACUCCUACGGGAGGCAGCAGUAGGGAAUCUUGGGCAAUGGGCGAAAGCCUGACGGAGCAACGCCGCGUGAGUGAUGAAGGUCUUCGGAUUGUAAAACUCUGUUAUUAGGGAGGAACAUAUGUGUGAGUAACUGUGGACGUCUUGACGGUACCUAAUCAGAAAGCCACGGCUAACUACGUG
rnacentral:rRNA from 1 species